rnacentral:rRNA from 1 species
UACGUAGGGUGCAAGCGUUGUCCGGAAUUAUUGGGCGUAAAGAGCUCGUAGGCGGUCUGUCGCGUCGGAUGUGAAAAUCCAGGGCUCAACCCUGGACCUGCAUUCGAUACGGGCAGACUAGAGGUAGGUAGGGGAGAAUGGAAUUCCCGGUGUAGCGGUGAAAUGCGCAGAUAUCGGGAGGAACACCGGUGGCGAAGGCGGUUCUCUGGGCCUUACCUGACGCUGAGGAGCGAAAGCGUGGGGAGCGAACAGG